rnacentral:rRNA from 1 species
UACAGAGGUCUCAAGCGUUGUUCGGAUUCAUUGGGCGUAAAGGGGGUGUAGGUGGCGCGCUAAGUCGGGUGUGAAAUUUCGGAGCUUAACUCCGAAACUGCAUUCGAUACUGCGGUGCUUGAGGACUGGAGGGGAGACUGGAAUUCAUGGUGUAGCAGUGAAAUGCGUAGAGAUCAUGAGGAAGACCAGUGGCGAAGGCGGGUCUCUGGACAGUUCCUGACACUGAGGCACGAAGGCCAGGGGAGCAAACGGG